UACGUAGGGUGCAAGCGUUGUCCGGAAUCAUUGGGCGUAAAGCGCGCGUAGGUGGUCAUGUAAGUCCGCUGUGAAAGUCAAAGGCUCAACCUUUGAAAGCCGGUGGAUACUGCAUGACUAGAGUACGGAAGAGGCGAGUGGAAUUCCUGGUGUAGCGGUGGAAUGCGCAGAUAUCAGGAGGAACACCAAUAGCGAAGGCAGCUCGCUGGGACGUUACUGACACUGAGGCGCGAAAGCGUGGGGGAGCGAUCCGG
rnacentral:rRNA from 1 species